rnacentral:rRNA from 1 species
GACGAACGCUGGCGGCGUGCUUAACACAUGCAAGUCGAACGGUAAGGCUCUUCGGAGUACACGAGUGGCGAACGGGUGAGUAACACGUGAGUAACCUGCCCUUGACUCUGGAAUAAGCGCUCGAAAGGGCGUCUAAUACUGGAUAUGACUUCUGCCUGCAUGGGUGGGGGUGGAAAGCUUCGGCGGUUGGGGAUGGACUCGCGGCCUAUCAGCUUGUUGGUGAGGUAGUGGCUCACCAAGGCUUCGACGGGUAGCCGGCCUGAGAGGGCGACCGGCCACACUGGGACUGAGAUACGGCCCAGACUCCUACGGGAGGCAGCAGUGGGGAAUAUUGCGCAAUGGGCGGAAGCCUGACGCAGCAACGCCGCGUGCGGGAUGACGGCCUUCGGGUUGUAAACCGCUUUCAGCAGGGACGAAGCGAAAGUGACGGUACCUGCAGAAGAAGCACCGGCCAACUACGUGCCAGCAGCCGCGGUAACAC